UACAGGGGGCUCGAGCGUUAGUCGGAAUCACUGGGCUUAAAGGGUGCGCAGGCGGGCCAUCAAGCGUUCUGUGAAAGCCCCCGGCUCAACCGGGGAACAGCAGAGCGAACUGGUGGUCUUGAGGCAAGUAGGGGUGGACAGAACUGUAGGUGGAGCGGUGAAAUGCGUAGAUAUCUACAGGAAUGCCGAUGGUGAAGACGGUCCACUGGGCUUGUCCUGACGCUCAUGCACGAAAGCGUGGGGAGCAAACAGG
rnacentral:rRNA from 1 species